rnacentral:tRNA from 1 species
GCACAGGUAGCCAAGCGGCGACGGCGCUGGCCUCGAGAGCCAGUAGGAGCAAUCCUUCGUGGGUUCGAGAAGCCUUGCUGGUUCAGCAGGCUCGAACAUCCCACCCUGUGCGCCA